GACAGAGGUCCCGAGCGUUAGGCGGAAUCACUGGGCUUAAAGCGUGUGUAGGCGGAUGCCUAAGUACCUUGUGAAAUCCCACGGCUCACCCGUGGAACUGCUUGGUAUACUGGGUGUCUUGAGCCACUUAGGGGCUACCGGAACAAAUGGUGGAGCGGUGAAAUGCGUAGAUAUCUGGAGGAAUACCGGUGGCGAAGGCGGCAUCCUGGACCGACAUUGACGCUGAACGGCGAAAGCUAGGGGAGCAAACGGG
rnacentral:rRNA from 1 species